GAUGAACGCUGGCGGCGUGCCUAAUACAUGCAAGUCGAGCGAUGCGGGCACAGGUGAGUAUCACGUGGAUACCCCCCUAUAUGACUGGGGUAACUUCGGUAAACCGGACCUCAACCGGAUACUUAUAGUUGGAUCCGGGCUGCAUUAGCUAGUGGGUAAGGUAACGGCUUACCAAGGCAACGAUGCAUAGCCGACCUGGGAGGUGGAUCGCCCACACUGGAAUUGGGACACGGUCAAGACUCCUACGGGAGGCAGCAGUAGGGAAUCUUCCGCAAUGGGCGAAAGCCUGACGGAGCAAGGCCGCGUGAGUGAGGAAGGUCUUCGGUUCGUAAAACUCUGUUAUUAGGGAAGCGGUACCGGAACAGAAAGCCACGGCUAACUACGUGCCAGCAGCCGCGGUAAUAC
rnacentral:rRNA from 1 species